rnacentral:hammerhead_ribozyme from 1 species
AUCCAGCUGGAGAGUCCCAAAUAGGAUGAAACGCACGUCUUGGAU